UGGAUUGAUUGUAGGAUACAGUUGUUGCAGAUCUUUCAGCGUCAAAAUCAGCAGCUGUGGAAAAAAUUUCACCAGAGAUGCAGAGCCAAUACAAGGGGACAAGUCAAGCAAGUCUCUCAAGGUUUUCCUUUAAAAAAAAAAAGAAGAAAGAAAACAAGGAACAUGGAGUCAAAAAGGAAAUGUUGGCAGAAAUCUUCUUCCAAAUUCAACAUGGCCACCUUUGAGGUUUUGCAUGGAAUAUAGCAGUGAAAAAUUAAUGUAGGAUUUAGCUUUCUGGUAUAUAUAGGAUUUUUUCAUGCACAAAUUGACAGAACAUUUAUACUUUUCAAUAAGGUUAUAACAUGUUCAGACAACAUCAG